AACGAACGCUGGCGGCAUGCCUAACACAUGCAAGUCGAACGAGACCUUCGGGUCUAGUGGCGCACGGGUGCGUAACGCGUGGGAACCUGCCCUUAGGUUCGGAAUAACUCCCCGAAAGGGGUGCUAAUACCGGAUAAUGUCUUCGGACCAAAGAUUUAUCGCCUUUGGAUGGGCCCGCGUUGGAUUAGCUAGUUGGUAGGGUAAAAGCCUACCAAGGCGACGAUCCAUAGCUGGUCUGAGAGGAUGAUCAGCCACACUGGGACUGCGACACGGCCCAGACUCCUACGGGAAGCAGCAGUGGGGAAUAUUGGACAAUGGGCGAAAGCCUGAUCCAGCAAUGCCGCGUGAGUGAUGAAGGCCUUAGGGUUGUAAAGCUCUUUUAACCGGGAUGAUAAUGACAGUACCGGGAGAAUAAGCUCCGGCUAACUCCGUG
rnacentral:rRNA from 1 species